rnacentral:lncRNA from 1 species
CACGUCAACUUGUAUUUUUGUCCAUCUGAUGAGUUAAGCCUUUUUCAACUGAUUUUUAUAGUUCGUUCUUAUGUUGUACUGUUAUACACUGUCCAGGUUAGGGGGAGGGUUGGGAUCCCGCUAACAUGUUUAACCACGCCACAUUAUUUAUGUAUGUGCCUGUCCCAAGUCAGGAGCCUGUAUUUCAGUGGUUGUCGUUUGUUUAUAUGUUACAUAUUUGUUUUUCGUUCAUUUUUUUACAUAAAUAAGGCCGUUAGUUUUCUCGUUUGAAUUGUUUUACAUUGUCUUAUCGGGGCCUAUUAUAGAUGACGAUGCAGUAUGGGCUUUGCUCAUUGUUGAAGGCCGUACGGUGACCUAUAGUUGUUAAUGUCUGUGUC